rnacentral:rRNA from 1 species
CCUACGUGUGGCAGCAGUGGGGGAUAUUGCACAAUGGGGGAAACCCUGAUGCAGCGACGCCGCGUGAGUGAAGAAGUAUUUCGGUAUGUAAAGCUCUAUCAGCAGGGAAGAAAAGGACGGAAGCUGACAAAGAAGACCAGACGAAAGACGUGCCAGCAGCCGCGGGAAUACGUAGGGGGCAAGCGUGAACCGGAUUUACUGGGUGUAAAGGGAGCGUGGACGGCAGCGCAAGUCUGAAGUGAAAUCCCAGGGCUUAACCAUGGAACUGAUUUGGAAACUGUGCAUCUGGAGUGCAGGAGCGCUAAGCAGAAUUCCUGGUGUAGCGGUGAAAUGGGUAGAUAUUAGGAGGAACACCAGUGGCGACGGCGGCUUACUGGACUGUAACUGACGUUCAGGCUCGAAAGCGUGGGGAGCAAACAGGAUUAGAUACCCUUGUAGUC